GAUAAGUGAUGAAAAAACGUUUCGGUCCCAGCUGAUGUCCGGUGAUAACUUAACGUUUUUCUGAUGUU
rnacentral:snoRNA from 1 species